AUGUCAUCAAUACGUACUAUAUCAUAAUGAACUUACAAGAACUUCAUAUGAAGAUUACCAUCCAUCUCCCAGGCUGCCUGCAAUCACUAUGGUUUUCAGGCAGAAAAGGCUUCUGUCACUUUCACAUACAGUUUGCAGCUCAGGAAAAUACAGGGCAUCUGGAAAUUGUUGAAAGAGACGAAACCCAUUUUUGUCUCUUCAUUCCCAGCCAGUGUUUGUAAAGGUCUGAGACUGACCAAAAUAUCAAGAUGAUUAUUAUUGAUAUCACCAUAUGCUGGAACCACAAAUUAUAUUGUCGUUGCUGAAACCUUGUCCAUCGGUGCAUCCUCCACACUGGGACAGAGACUUUCCCAGAUUAGAAGGUGGAAAAAGAAGACUCAGGAGGACAUGAUCCGUGAGUUAAUGUGCACCUCCGAGAGUGACAAGACGGAGCUCAGUGCAUGGAGGAUUGCACUGUCCGAUAGCCUGCACAAGGACCGUGAGGCCAGAAGAGCAUGCAAGGAACGCUAGCGUGACACGCAGGAUGAGAUGGUGCGGAGUAUGAGGGAGCAAAUAGACAUGUUGAGGCAUCUGGUUGAGGGUUCAAGAAAGGCAACUGGAUGUGACAGUUGCACUGUAGCCUGUGCUGAACCUGCUGCCAUCGUCGCCAAGUUCCACAUCCUCCUCUCCCAGACGUCCUAGAAUGCGGGGGAGGGGAGUCUGGUAUCCCUUGCAAUCAACUCCAGGGGAGGUACAAGGACUAGAAGGUGCACUGUUAUUGCAGUGCAGUUGUAAGCAAGCUGUCCUUGUUUCUCCCCUCUCGCCCCUGCUGCAGUGUUAUCAGCCCUUU